GACGAACGCUGGCGGCGUGCUUAACACAUGCAAGUCGAACGGAAAGGCCCUGCUUUUGUGGGGUGCUCGAGUGGCGAACGGGUGAGUAACACGUGAGUAACCUGUCCUUGACUUUGGGAUAACUUCAGGAAACUGGGGCUAAUACCGGAUAGGAGCUCUUGCUGCAUGGUGGGGGUUGGAAAGUUUCGGCGGUUGGGGAUGGACUCGCGGCUUAUCAGCUUGUUGGUGGGGUAGUGGCGUACCAGGGCUUUGACGGGUAGCCGGCCUGAGAGGGUGACCGGCGACAUGGGGACUGCGGUACGGCCCAGACGGCAACGGGCGGCAGCGGUGGGGAAUAUUGCGCAAUAGGCGGGAGCCUGAUGCAACGACGCCGCGUGCGGGAUGACGGCCUUCGGGUUGUAAACCACUUUCGCCUGUGACGAAGCGUGAGUGACGGUAAUGGGUAAAGAAGCAACGGCUAACUACGUG
rnacentral:rRNA from 1 species